AUUGAACGCUGGCGGCAGGCCUAACACAUGCAAGUCGAGCGCGCGGCGUACGGGUGAGUAAUGUAUGGGGAUCUGCCCGCUAGAGGGGGAUAACUACUGGAAACGGUGGCUCAUCCCGCAUACUAUCGGCUGAACCCAUAUGGGAUUACAUAGGAGGUGGGGUACAGGCUCACCUCGGCGACGAUCUCUAGCUGGUCUGAGAGGAUGAUCAGCCACAACGGGACUGAGACACGUCCCAGACUCCUACGGGAGGCAUCAGUGGUGAAUAUUGCACAAUGGGCGCAAGCCUGAUGCAGCCAUGCCGCGUGUAUGAAGAAGGCCUGAGGGUUGUAAAGUACUUUCAGCGGGGAGGCGUUACCCGCAGAAGAAGCACCGGCUAACUCCGUGCCAGCCGCCGCGGUAAUAC
rnacentral:rRNA from 1 species